ACUAUGCAACCCUAGCUGGCCUAGGACAGGCUGCAUAGAUCAGGCUAUCUUACCCCUGCUUUCCAACUGCUUUGACAUUUGUGUCUUAAUGUGUAUUGAGAUGCCAGCACUCUCAGACUGCCGGAGGCUGCUGGCAGAACCACAGUGUGGUCAGUCUCUUACCACAGACACAUCCGGAUUGGUGCCAAGGGCAGAGACAACAACCACUGCAGCUACUAUAACAAUACUGAGGCUAAGAAAUAAUCACCCUAUCCAGCCACAGUAACUGGCAGCGUGAGACUCAAGAGAACCCAAACAGACCAUCCUUCACCACUCUAAGACACUUCCCAAGUAAUAGUCAGUGACAACUUAGUGAGAAUUCAUCCACCUGGUCUCCACUUGAAGGAAAUAGAAAUCACAGGGCUGGUGAAGUAGCUGAGUGGUUGAACCCUCACCUAUAAUGUAUAGGUCCCAGGGUUCAGUCCCUAGCACCCUGAAAAGUAAAAUCCAAGCUAAAAGUUCCUAAUCCUUUCCCCUAAAACAUGCUGUGUGCCCGA